GGAAGCCAAAGCCGACUGCAGGAAGUAGAGGCAGAAGGUGGUUACAGAGAGCAGCUGAAUAGACCCAUCUAGUACGGGGGCGUGCCAUCACCCAGGAAGUCGUGAGUGUGAGGAGCAAAUCCAGUCCAAGCAGUGGGGCCUGCUCCACUUCGGGGCCAUCUAUAUCAGGCAGGGGCAAGCCAGAAGAGCUCAUCCUGCUGUUAGCCACCUGCUCCAGCCUGACCUGGUCUGCACCUGCUGUCUUUCCAAAGCCUGAAAUACCUACUCUCUUGGAAUGAUAAAACUGAAGGCCUUUACAAGCUGCAGAAGAGAAACUGAAAAGUCUACUCCUCUGUACAGAUGGCGGGGGGAGGGGGGCGAAGAGGGAUGAACAUUAACUAGAAAUAUAGUUGUUGACAAUUUUCAGUUAUCGAUCAAAGGCAGACUUGUGCCUGCAUUAGAUAUGCAUGUAUCCCCCACAUUUUAUAUAAUAAUCAUAUUGAAAACCAGGCAGAGAUUCCAGUGACAAGAAUGAACAUGAUCUUCAACUCUGAUCCUGACUUAAAUUUGUUCUCAGAGCUGAGAAUAUGGAAUAAAGCCAACUCCCACUGAUUCAGACUAAAUGGUAUGAGGUCAGGCUGAAUUAAGGAAAAGUUUGAAUUAUGGACUAUUUUUCAAUAAAAUGCCAUUCCAAGUUAGUAACUCAGGAUGGUCUAGUGUAUAGAGGGCAGAUGUGGGAGUCAGGAUGACCUGGGUUCAAGUCCUUUCCCUGACACACACUGGCUGUGUGACCAUGCCUAAGAUUACAAAUUGGAAUAAUGUUGUCAACGUACAUUGGUUGCAAUUUCCACACCACGGGUCUCCCCAUCCUGAUGGAAUCAUAGGUCAGGACAAAACCAAGAAAUAAACACCACUCCAAAACAAAGUUUUUAAGAAACAGUAUCUGAAACUAAUAGCUCUAUUCUGUUUUUGCUAUUGCAAUUCCUAAAAAGUGCUAUUUAUACAAUCUUCUAUUUGUAGAGAAAACAAUCAAGGAAGUCCUUUAAAACAAUUACUAAGUAGCUUAAACAUUCCCACUUCAGUCUUUUUUAACACUAGCCAUUAAAUCACCAAUGCCUUUAUUCACACUAGUACAGAGGUAAACAGGAGCCUAGAAAAAGUCGAAUUGUAACAAAUUCUCAGCUAGUAUAUUUGACAAUAAUGAGAAUUUUUUUUUUUGCAACUUGCUUUAUUAGGAUUAGCUCUCCAUGACUGUUGUUGACUGGGAUAAGGACUCAUAGACAUUGUCAUCCAGCAAUGUGGCUCAAUGUAAAGAAAAUAAUAAUAAUAAAAUAAUGAUGAUGAUGAUAUAGUGCCUACUAUGUUCCAGG